ACAGACGCAGAAAAUGGCGGCCACCAUGCCACUCAAAACUUCAAACUGGCUCGGCACACCCCUAGACUGGGUGGGGCUUGGGCCAGCCCUUAACAGGCCUCGGAAUCAGUGCUGCUCAGGAGCUACAGAGGUCAUUGCAAGCCGGCACUUAACUCUCAAACAAGGAUAAAGAUUCAGGACAACAACACCCACUGGAUAGGGUUUAAACUAAGAUAUUGACCUAACUGUUUGAAGGUGGAACCUAACUCAGAAGAAAGAGCCAGGUCAGCUACCUAAUUGUUCCAGGCUGACCUGGGAGAAUUUAUAACCAGACCAAAUCAGGAAGUGUCCACAAGACAAGAAAAUACCAGAGAGAAGCAUCUCAUGUUCUUUAUUGGGCAUUUCCUAGUUCAAACAGAAACUUUUUUAUGUGUUCCCUGGAACAAAAGUGAAAGCUGCCCCAUAGAUUUCAGAUUUCAAUGGAGGAAUCAAAGAGUUUGACAUGGCAGUGACUGGACACCAGUGUGCCCCCUCCACACAACAAAAAGUACCAGCAAAGACAUGAGUUAAGGCUUUGUGUGGGAAAAUGUUUAAUUACAUCUAUGGCACCCUAGAGAAUCAGGGCCCAUGGCACCGAACAGCUUUUACUGGAUGUUCAAUCUGUGUGUCACUUUAGACCUAACUCUAUGGGGAGAUACGAUGGGAUAUCUGGAGGGUGGAGCCCUCUUCAUCUGGAGAAGAUGCUGCCCUUUUCUGCCUGUUCUGGAACUCUUUGGCUCAUUUCAAGGAGUAACUGGAAGGUGCUGGGUUCAAGUUCUGAUUUAUUAGUUUUCUUGUGCCGCAACAGUUCUGAUUGUAAAACAGCCUUGGAAAGGUCAGAAGCAUCUUCUAGACUUGAUGAACCUGCACCAAGUGAUGAGAGUGCACAUUGGAAUGUUGAUGAUGACCCCACUCUUCCUCCAAGGAGGUCAGUGUGGCUGGCCUGACUGUGAGUAGGAGCUCAAGGGAAAGAUGGCAGCCUCAGCUGUGGCCAAGCAGUCACUGGACCACAGACAGCUCUGAGCUGGCAGCUUCCUAUGAUGAAGCCUCAUAGCCCUCUUGGGCCAAACUACCUCGCCCCAACGCCCUCCUCUUCAUGCUGGGCAGCAAAUUUUCCGCCAACAGAGGAGGAAGAACCAUGGAAGGCAUUGAGACUUGGCUUUUGCUUCACAUGACCUUUCUAUCAGCAGCACGACAUAGUGUGCUGUGGGUGUCCAUGUUCUGGGAAUGCUCCCCUCAGCAGUCAGAAGCCCCUCCCUGUCCACAGAACAUCUUUUGGAAGGCAGGAGUUCAAGAUAGAAUCAGACACAGUCUUUCUCUCCUGCAACCUUCACCAGAGUAGUGACAUCCUCCACGAGCAACUGGGUAAGAUCAGACCAGAAUACUUACCCACAUCAAAGUUUCUAAAUACCAUUAAAUAGAGUGCUAGA